rnacentral:rRNA from 1 species
GACGAACGCUGGCGGCGUGCUUAACACAUGCAAGUCGAACGGAAAGGCCCUGCUUUUGUGGGGUGCUCGAGUGGCGAACGGGUGAGUAACACGUGAGUAACCUGCCCUUGACUUUGGGAUAACUUCAGGAAACUGGGGCUAAUACCGGAUAGGAGCUCCUGCUGCAUGGUGGGGGUUGGAAAGUUUCGGCGGUUGGGGAUGGACUCGCGGCUUAUCAGCUUGUUGGUGGGGUAGUGGCAUACCAAGGCUUUGACGGGUAGCCGGCCUGAGAGGGUGACCGGCGACAUUGGGACUGCGAUACGGCGCAGACUGCUACGGGAGGCAGCAGUGGGGAAUAUUGCAGAAUGGGCGGGAGCCUGAUGCAGCAACGCCGCGUGCGGGAUGACGGCCUUCGGGUUGUAAACCGCUUUCGCCUGUGGCGAAGCGUGAGUGACGGUAAUGGGUAAGGAAGCACCGGCUAACUACGUG